rnacentral:sRNA from 1 species
GACAUUCAGCCGGCGGUUCGGGGCGACGGACUCUCCAUCCCAGAACCAUGGCCCAAUUUGUCCGUAACCUUGUGGAGAAGACCCCGGCGCUGGUGAACGGUGGCGCAUAUUAAGGAAUUGCAAACUAAUUUUUAUGAUCUAAAAAGAAAAGUAACACCAAGGCAUUGGCAGUUCUGUUUGGAACUAUCUCUUAGAGCUUUGUGUCUGCUUAAAGCUGCUGUGACUUACUCGAAGCCUCGAUUGGCCACAUUUUGGUACUACGCCAAGGUUGAGCUGGUUCCUCCCACCCCUGCUGAGAUCCCUAGAGCUAUUCAGAGCCUGAAAAAAAUAGUCAAUAGUGCUCAGACUGGUAGCUUCAAACAGCUCACAGUUAAGGAAGCUGUGCUGAAUGGUUUGGUGGCCACUGAGGUGUUGAUGUGGUUUUAUGUCGGAGAGAUUAUAGGCAAGCGGGGCAUCAUUGGCUAUGAUGUUUGAAGACCAAUCUUUAACAUCUGAUUAUAUUUGAUUUAUUAUUUGAGUGUUGUUGGACCAUGUGUGAUCAGACUGCUAUCUGAAUAAAAUAAGAUUUGUCAAAA